rnacentral:lncRNA from 1 species
UGAGAAAGGAUCUGGGGUUCCUCUCUGGUCCUGCCUGAUUGCAUGGGAACAGCUGCCCUCUGCUGCCUUCUGAGGCUGUGAAGUGCGAGUGUGAGAUUAGAAAGGAACCUGUGGAAGGGGGCGGCGUGGCCCUCUGUCCUCAGCCUGCAGUAAAGCCAGCUUGCAUGGACUGGGCUUGGUGUCUUGGGAAGAAGGGUCCUUGGAGCCGAAGAUGAUUUUGGGGAGUGAAAGAGACCGCCUUUUCCUGGUAAUAGCAGAGCCAAAACUCCAGCCUUCAACCCACAGACCGGGGCCUGUCCCCAGGCAUCGCCACCCACCCCAUGGCCUCAUCGUCAUCUGUGACUUUUGCCUCCCUGCAUCUCAGUUUCCAUGCCUGUCAAGUGGAGAUAUAAUACCUCAUUCUGGGGAGAUACAAUGAAGCACUGCUGGUAAAAAGUACACGUGCUAUACAAAAUUAGGAAAUCCUUGUCACCAGACUUAGAGAAAAAUACAAAGUGGAGUUGACUCCCAGGUUGGAGACACAGCUUCCCAGACUCCCGUUUCACCUGAGGCACAGAAGCUUUCCUUUGUUCACCGUUGCCAGCAGUUAUUGGACUGUGGCUGGGAUUACCUGUCAGAAUUCACAGAGAUGGCAUCUCUCUAUAUUGCCCAGGCUGGUCU